AACGAACGCUGGCGGCAUGCCUAACACAUGCAAGUCGAACGAGACCUUCGGGUCUAGUGGCGCACGGGUGCGUAACGCGUGGGAAUCUGCCCUUCGGUUGGGAAUAGCUGAGAGAAAUUUCAGCUAAUACCUUAUAAUGUCUUCGGACCAAAGAUUUAUCGCCGAGGGAUGAGCCCGCGUAGGAUUAGGUAGUUGGUGGGGUAAUGGCCUACCAAGCCGACGAUCCUUAGCUGGUCUGAGAGGAUGAUCAGCCACACUGGGACUGAGACACGGCCCAGACUCCUACGGGAGGCAGCAGUGGGGAAUAUUGGACAAUGGGCGAAAGCCUGAUCCAGCAAUGCCGCGUGAGUGAUGAAGGCCUUAGGGUUGUAAAGCUCUUUUACCCGGGAUGAUAAUGACAGUACCGGGAGAAUAAGCUCCGGCUAACUCCGUG
rnacentral:rRNA from 1 species